rnacentral:miRNA from 1 species
UGCCUACAUAUCUUUGUAUGUGUGUGUGUGUAGAUAUAUAUAUAUACACACAUAUAUAUGUGUGUGUAUAUAUAUAUACACACACAUAUAUAUAUAUAUAUGAUGGCUAUA